rnacentral:rRNA from 1 species
UGCCUCAGUAACUGCGAGUGAAGCGGCAAAAGCUCAAAUUUGAAAUCUGGCCCGUCUCCGGCGGCCCGAGUUGUAAUUUGGAGGGGCAUCUUCAGGGGUGGGCGCCGUCCUAAGUUCCUUGGAACAGGACGUCACAGAGGGUGAGAAUCCCGUGCCUGGGCGGCUGUCCCGCUCCAUGUGAAGUGUCUCCGACGAGUCGAGUUGUUUGGGAAUGCAGCUCAAAAUGGGUGGUAAAUUUCAUCUAAAGCUAAAUAUUGGCGAGAGACCGAUAGCGCACAAGUAGAGUGAUCGAAAGAUGAAAAGCACUUUGAAAAGAGAGUUAAAAAGUACGUGAAAUUGUUGAAAGGGAAGCGCUUGAGAUCAGACUCGUCGGACGGCAACCAUCGGUGCUUCUGUGCCGUGCACUUGCCGACCGACGGGCCAGCAUCGGUUCCGGCGGCGGGAAAAAGGCCCGGGCAAUGUGGCUCUCUUCGGGGAGUGUUAUAGGCCCGGGCGUCAUACCGCCUGCUGGGACCGAGGACCGCGCUUCGGCUAGGAUGCUGGCGUAAUGGUCUUAAGCGACCCGUCUUGAAACACGGACCAAGGAGUCUAACAUCUAUGCGAGUGUUCGGGUGGAAAACCCCUGCGCGUAAUGAAAGUGAACGGAGGUGGGAACCCCUCGGGGUGCACCAUCGACCGAUCCUGAUGUCUUCGGAAGGAUUUGAGUAGGAGCAUAGCUGUUGGGACCCGAAAGAUGGUGAACUAUGCCUGAAUAGGGUGAAGCCAGAGGAAACUCUGGUGGAGGCUCGCAGCGGUUCUGACGUGCAAAUCGAUCGUCAAAUUUGGGUAUAGGGGCGAAAGACUAAUCGAACCAUCUAGUA